GUCUAAGCUUUUGAGCAAGAAAGGAAGGGAAAGGUAAUGGUGGUGGUGGUGGUGGACUCCAUGGACCAUUUGGUCUCUGGCUAGAGGAUAAGCAUGACACGGUGGCUGCGGAUAUCGUCUAUGAUGCUCUCCUUUACUUUACCGACUGCAGCCGUGGUUUCUUCAGACCACAUGUACUGUUCUUCGUUUGAUGGGCUAUGUGGUCUUGAAGGAAGAAGAGGGAGCUGUGAUCUACGAUCCAUAUAUCUUGGUAAGCUGCAUCGGUAAACGUUGUCGCCAGGCUUUCUUCUUCUUUCAGCUCUUGUACCGGAAUGGCCACUCAAUGAUUUCUUCGAGUAUUUGUGGAUGUCGUAGCGUGAAACGUACAGAUGAAUCGUUUGACGAAAUGGCGGACCGAGAGGCGUCCACAUUGUGUGGUGCCGACCGAACAUGCCAUCUGCUGUGUUGGUGAGAUGAAGUGCCGAGUUCAAUGUUCACUGACUCAGAUGCACAUUGUCUCGGUACAAUGAUUAGGGGAGUCCCACAGCACAUCAGCAAUCCCAACAACGGUACAGCAUCCUCACAUCAAAUGGAGGAUAGAUAUGAGGACCUGAAUCUGCUGCCACACCACACAAUGGAAAGUUAAUGCUGCUUAAUGAACGAGCGUCAAACGUGGGAAUAGAGAUGGUAGGAGGUCCUGUAGAAGAAUAGAGCAACUGUGCAAUCUCAGAGGUGUUCACGAAAUUACUUGAACUCUGGACCUUUCACCGACUCUUGUCGUCCAGCCUAAAUGGGUGAAAUGCGUUCAAACCAUCAUUAACUUGGCUUCCUAUGUCUGGUGAGUCUCCAUGUCGUCCUUCGUCGAGCACAUCAACUCCCACACUUCACAACAUGAGAUCGAGUACAAUACAUUGGAGACGUGGACUACAUUCAACUCCCAGCACAUUGCAGCCAUGGAUGCACAAUAGGUAGGUAGCAUCUACGAUCAAGCAUGUCCUCGAAUGCUAUGGAAUGUCGGCAGGCCAACACCUUCUUCGUCGCCACCGAGUCAAUGCCACAGCAGAUUGUUGACACGUCCAAUUCAUUCUGCUCCCUUGCCCACCACACAUUAAUUCUGACAGCCCCCAACAGUGAUAUCACCAUCGAAUGCAACACUGCAUCCUGAAUCGAUUGGUACAAUCUCCUGCACUCGAUUAUUAUUGCGCCACCGAAGGAGAAUCCAAAUCCGAGCUUGGCCAUCCAAAGUAUUUGGUCCAAUUGACUGCUUAUUCGUCACCCGAGUACGUCCAUCACAUCAA